rnacentral:rRNA from 1 species
AACGAACGCUGGCGGCGUGCCUAACACAUGCAAGUCGCACGAGAAAGCGGGCUUCGGUCCGCCGGUAAAGUGGCAGACGGGUGAGUAACACGUGGGUAACCUGCCCGGAAGUGGGGAAUAACCCUCCGAAAGGAGGGCUAAUACCGCAUGACAUCCCGGGAGCCUUGGCUCCUGGGAUCAAAGCUAGCCUCUACAUGUAAGCUAGUGUUUCCGGAGGGACCCGCGCCCCACUUAGCUAGUUGGNGAGGUAACGGCUCACCAAGGCGACGAUGGGUAGCCGGCCUGAGAGGGUGUCCGGCCACACUGGAACUGAGACACGGUCCAGACUCCUACGGGAGGCAGCAGUGAGGAAUCUUGCGCAAUGGGCGAAAGCCUGACGCAGCGACGCCGCGUGGAGGACGAAGGUCUUCGGGUUGUAAA